rnacentral:sRNA from 1 species
UUGUCUGUACUGGAGGAGACUGAAGUCCUCUAUAUACACAGAAGAGGUACAACACAAGUAGCAACAAUGCAGGCUUCACCACAGUGCCCCAGCAAUGUGUCUUUAAGACUGAUGCAGACAGACUGCCUUUAGUGAUGAGAGGAUAUUUCAGUUCUCAAGACCAUCAAUCCAUGUCUUUU